GAUGAACGCUGGCGGCGUGCCUAAUACAUGCAAGUCGAGCGAACAGACGAGGAGCUUGCUCCUCUGACGUUAGCGGCGGACGGGUGAGUAACACGUGGAUAACCUACCUAUAAGACUGGGAUAACUUCGGGAAACCGGCGCUAAUACCGGAUAAUAUAUUGAACCGCAUGGUUCAAUAGUGAAAGACGGUUUUGCUGUCACGUAUAGAUGGAUCCGCGCCGCAUUAGCUAGUUGGUAAGGUAACGGCUUACCAAGGCAACGAUGCGUAGCCGACGUGAGAGGGUGGUCGGCCACACUGGAACUGAGACACGGUCCUGACUCCUACGGGAGGCAGCAGUAGGGAAUCUUACGCAAUGGGCGAAAGCCUGACGGAGCAACGCCGCGUGAGUGAUGAAGGUCUUCGGAUCGUAAAACUCUGUUAUUAGGGAAGAACAAAUGUGUAAGUAACUAUGCACGUCUUGACGGUACCUAAUCAGAAAGCCACGGCUAACUACGUG
rnacentral:rRNA from 1 species